rnacentral:lncRNA from 13 species
AUGUUCAUAGAUGACCAGCAGUGUCAAAUAAUAAUAAUUACAGUGGUUAUAGAGGGUGCAAUAGUUCCAUGUAGUCAUGGCUGUUCCAGGACUGGAGUGGCACGCUGGAACUUCCAGAGGCUUGUAGACCUGAAGCAGUGUGAUGUGGUCCAGAUCUUACACCCUAUUAGCUCAACCACAGUCCUCGCAGCUGCAGUCGUCUGCACCCUGUACCUGCUACACCGACCACGACAGGUGAUACAGAGGGAGAGAAACGCUGGGCCAAUUGUGCGCCGCCCUAUGGGACUACUAAUCACGAGGGAGAGAAACCAAACACCUACAGUCAUCUCAUGGGUCUCCCAGUCGAGACCCGCACGGGUAUUGAACCAGCAUCUGUAG